UCGUGUGUGCAAUUCACAACAGGGUUC
rnacentral:piRNA from 1 species